rnacentral:lncRNA from 1 species
GGAGAGGCGCACAGCGCAGGCGCUGGCGCGGAGAGGCGCAGGCCCAGGUCCACUCCCCAGCUGUGAAAGGAGGAGCUCUACGGUGACUUUGAAGACUUGGAAACAGGGGACAUGCACAAGGGAAAAUCGGGCCCCGACACUCAGAAUGAAGAUAUAGAGAAACAAGGAAGAAAUUGACCCCGACGAAGAAGAAAGUGCCAAGAAAAAGCAUUUGGAUAAGAAGAGAAAAUUGAAGGAGAUGUUUGAUGCGGAAUAUGAUGAAGGAGAAAGCACAUAUUUUGAUGAUCUUAAAGGAGAAAUGCAGAAAGAAGCACAGAGAGAAGCAGAGAAAUGAAGCAGUUUUUGGUGGAAGAAGUGGAAUCAAAAGGUUUUGAGCUGAAUCACGUAGAAUUUGAAGAUCAAGAUGAUGAAGCCAGAGUUCAGUAUGAUGGUUUUCGACCUGGGAUGUACGUCCGCGUUGAGAUUGAAAAUGUUCCCUGUGAAUUUGUGCAGAACUUUGACCCCCAUUACCCCAUUAUCCUGGGUGGCUUGGGCAACAGCGAGGGAAAUGUUGGACACGUGCAGAUGCGUCUGAAGAAACAUCGCUGGUAUAAGAAAAUCCUCAAGUCCCAAGAUCCAAUCAUAUUUUCUGUAGGGUGGAGGAGGUUUCAGACCAUCCUGCUCUAUUAUAUUGAAGACCACAAUGGAAGACAAAGGCUUCUAAAGUAUACCCCACAGCACAUGCAUUGUGGAGCAGCCUUUUGGGCCUGAUUUUCGGAUAGCUGCCACAGGAGUUGUCCUUGAUCUGGAUAAAUCCAUAAAAAUUGUGAAGAAAUUAAAGCUAACUGGUUUUCCAUAUAAAAUUUUCAAGAACACUUCAUUUAUUAAGAUAUUGUCUUCAUGCGAACUUGGUAUCCUGUUUCCAUCCCAGCCUUCUAUAACCCAGUAACAUCUUUGUUGAAACCAGUGGGUGAGAAAGACACCUGGUCAGGAAUGUGGACCACGGGCCACCUCGGGCUCGCCCAUGGUGUCAGACUAAAGACAAACAAGGACUCUCUGUAUAAGGUACUGGUCGUGUGUGUGUUAGUGGAGAUGAAGCCUGUGCCCUACAGACAGGGAGUCACGCAGACACUUUUCUAUAAUUUCUUACGUACUUUGAAUGUUCAAGUAUAAAGUCUAAUGUUAAAUUUGAUUGAACAAUUGUAUAUUUGUGGGAUAUUUUGGAAUGGAACACCAAAAAAUGGUAAUAGUGGUUCUUUCUGGAUUGAAGACAAACUUUUCUUUUUUAAAAUAAAUUUUAUUUUAUAUAUUU